GACGAACGCUGGCGGCGUGCUUAACACAUGCAAGUCGAACGGAAAGGCCCUGCUUUUGUGGGGUGCUCGAGUGGCGAACGGGUGAGUAACACGUGAGUAACCUGCCCUUGACUUUGGGAUAACUUCAGGAAACUGGGGCUAAUACCGGAUAGGAGCUCCUGCUGCAUGGUGGGGGUUGGAAAGUUUCGGCGGUUGGGGAUGGACUCGCGGCUUAUCAGCUUGUUGGUGGGGUAGUGGCUUACCAAGGCUUUGACGGGUAGCCGGCCUGAGAGGGUGACCGGCCAAAUUGGGACUGAGAUACGGCCCUAACUCCUAGGGGGGGCAGCAGGGGGGAAUAUUCCACAAAGGGCGGAGGCGUGAUGCAGCAACCCCGGGGGGGGGAGGAGGCCCUUCGGGUUGAAACCCGCUUUCCCCUGAAACGAAGCGAAGUGGACGGAAAUGGGUAAAAAAGCACCGGCAAACCACGG
rnacentral:rRNA from 1 species